rnacentral:rRNA from 1 species
AGUUGCCAUCAUUCAGUUGGGCACUCUAGCGAGACUGCCGGUAAUAAACCGGAGGAAGGUGGGGAUGACGUCAAAUCAUCAUGCCCUUAUGACCUGGGCUACACACGUGCUACAAUGGUUGGUACAACGAGUUGCGAGUCGGUGACGGCGAGCUAAUCUCUUAAAGCCAAUCUCAGUUCGGAUUGUAGGCUGCAACUCGCCUACAUGAAGUCGGAAUCGCUAGUAAUCGCGGAUCAGCAUGCCGCGGUGAAUACGUUCCCGGGCCUU